UUUCCCACGAGGCCAUAUCUCAGGCUAUCUCAAUGGGGAGAAACCUUGGACAAUACCCAGGCUUUCUUUGGCAGAGGUCCCCGAUGCCUUCCACAGUGCAUUGUGUCCCUGGGAACUCGAGACUGGAGAAUGGCGAUGACUUUUACAAAGUAUACUGCCUGCAAACAUAUUUUUACCAAAGCACAUCCUGCACAGCCCUAAAUCCAUUAAAUCUUAAGUCAACACAGCACAUGUUUCUGUGAGCACAGGGUUGGGGCUAUGGUUACGUUACAGAUUAACAGCAUCUCAAGGCAGAAGAAUUUUUCUUAGUACAGAACAAAAUGGAGUUUCUUAUGUCUUCUUCUUCAUAGACACAGUAACAGUCUGAUCUGCCUUUCUUUCCCCCACAGGGAAGUCCUUUUAAGUUUAGGAAGAUUUAUAUUCACUUUCUCUUUUUAAAGGAAAACCUCAAUUGCCAUUGACACAAUCAUUAACCAGAAACGUUUCAAUGAUGGAUCUGAUGAAAAGAAGAAGCUGUACUGUAUCUAUGUUGCUAUUGGUCAAAAGAGAUCCACUGUUGCCCAGUUGGUGAAGAGACUUACAGAUGCAGGUAUUACAAGAAAUUUAGUCCCAUUGCUGUUAUCUUAAGUCCCGUUGCUGCUAAUUGUAGAAUAACUUCUACUUAAUGAAGGCAUAUUUUAAUUACUCCCUAAUGAGCUGAACUUUUUAAUACAAAUCAGUAAGUAAAAUAAUGUAAAACAGUAAUACAUUUAAAGGUUUUGUUGUUUCUUUAAAGUGGAAGCUGUUAGAUUCUGAUUAACUCUUUUUGUUGUUUGAGACAGAGUUUCACUCUUGUUGCCCAGCCUGGAGUGCAAUGGCACGAUCUCAGCUCACUGCAACCUCUGUCUCCUGGGUUCAAGUGAUUCUCCUGUCUCAGCCUCCCGAGUAGCUGGGAUUACAGGUGCAUGCCACCACGUCCGGCUAAUUUUUGUGUUUUUAGUAGAGACAGAGUUUCCUCAUAUUGGUCAGGCUGGUCUCGAACUCCUAACCUCAGGUGAUCACCCGCCUAGGCCUCCCAAAGUGCUGGGAUUACAGGCAUGAGCCACUGCGCCUGGCCUGAUUAACUCUUAAUAGUAAAUAUUUUUAGCACUUGGGUAAUUUUUAUAGUAGCCUCCAAUUUAAAAUCACAAUAUUGAUAAAAUUGUAAAACGUAAAAUGUAUUUUCUCCUCAGAUGCCAUGAAGUACACCAUUGUGGUGUCAGCUACGGCCUCAGAUGCUGCCCCACUUCAGUACCUGGCUCCUUACUCUGGCUGUUCCAUGGGAGAGUAUUUUAGAGACAAUGGCAAACAUGCUUUGAUCAUCUAUGACGACUUAUCCAAACAGGUCAAAGGAAAUAUAUUUUUAGAGUCCAUUUAUUUGUACUGAAGUGAAAGUUCACAUAUGCAACUUCUAUUUAAUAGGUUAACUUCACAAACCUGUUCUGUACCAUAGGCUGUUGCUUACCGUCAGAUGUCUCUGUUGCUCCGCCGACCCCCUGGUCGUGAGGCCUAUCCUGGUGAUGUGUUCUACCUACACUCCCGGUUGCUGGAGAGAGCAGCCAAAAUGAACGAUGCUUUUGGUGGUGGCUCCUUGACUGCUUUGCCAGUCAUAGAAACACAGGCUGGUGAUGUGUCUGCUUACAUUCCAACAAAUGUCAUUUCCAUCACUGAUGGACAGGUAUUAUUUUAAUGAUUAAAAUACAUGUGAAAAAAAGAUUUGGAUAAUUCUAAGGCAUUGGUUGAGACUAAUGGUAUAUUAACUGAUUUGCUAAAUGCAUUCUACUUUUUAUCAUGGAAAAUUUCAAAUACAUAGAAAAGUUAGGAGAAUGGCAUAGGAAACCCCAUGUAUCUGUCACCCAGUUACUUCAUAGAGUAGUGUGUUUCAUUCUUGUUUCAUUUUUAACCACUACUGUUCUCCCUUCUAGAUAAUUUUGAAUCAAAUAGAAAUUAUAUCACUUCAUUUGUAUAUAUUUCAGUAUAAAUAUGUUGCCUAUUAUGUUUUUUUCUCAUCUCAUGCACAUCUAAUUGCAGCAAUAAAAUAUACAGGUCAGUUCAGGUCGUGAAAGAUUUGGGGGACUGAUGUUUCGCAUUGUUAGGUUUUGAGUUUCAGCUUUUUGGCAUAAUGACUUAAAUUUGAAGAUAGUUGAUUUCUUACUUGAAGCUUGCUAGUGUGCGUAUUUCCUUACAUUAUAGAUCUUCUUGGAAACAGAAUUGUUCUACAAAGGUAUCCGCCCUGCAAUUAACGUUGGUCUGUCUGUGUCUCGUGUCGGAUCCGCUGCCCAAACCAGGGCUAUGAAGCAGGUAAUUUUGCAUCACUUUGGCAGGAAGGGGGCUAUCAUUAGAUUAGCAUCUUAAGGUAUUAAUAUAUUAACUAUAUUUGUAUAGUGCUCUAUGUCAUUGAGUUACAGUACAGUAAUUUCUGUAUUUCAGGUGGCAGGUACUAUGAAGCUGGAAUUGGCUCAGUAUCGUGAGGUUGCUGCUUUUGCCCAGUUCGGUUCUGACCUCGAUGCUGCCACUCAACAACUUUUGAGUCGUGGCGUGCGUCUAACUGAGUUGCUGAAGCAAGGACAGUAUUGUGAGUUGUUCUUUUCUUCAUUUGGUCAGGGUCCUAUUGUGUAUCAACGUCUUCCCAGACUUACAGAGCUACACCACAUAUCAUGGCCUGUACUAUGUGUUGUGUUACCUGUUAUCUUUCAUCAAAGGCACUUUUACUUAAACUACAUUUGUUUUUUGAUUUUUGAUUUUUUUUUUUUUUUUGAGACGAAGUUUCGUUCUUGUGGCUUAGGCUGAAGUGCAACGGUGCGACCUUGGCUCACUGCAACCUCCACCUCCCGGAUUCACGCGAUUCUUCUGCCUCAGUCUCUUGAGUAGCUCAGAUUACAGGUGUGAGCCACCACGCCCGGCUAAUUUUUGUAUUUUUAGUAGAGACAGGGUUUCACCAUGUUGGCCAGGCUGGUCUCGAACUCCUGACCUCAAGCAAUCCACCCUGCCUCAGCCUCCCAAAGUGCUGGGAUUACAGGCAUGAGCCACUGUGCCCGGCCCUGUAUUUUGUUUUUUAAAGAGAGACAGUGUCUUGCUGUGUCAUCCAGGCUGGAGUGCAGUGGUGCCAUCAUAGCUCACUGCAGCCUUGAACUUCUGGGCUCAAGCAGUCCUGCAUCCUUAGCUUCCUGAGUAGCUAGGACUACGGGCACGCACUACGAUGCCUGGCUGAUUUUUUUAUAUUUUGUAGAGACAAGGUCUCACUAUAUUGCCCAGGCUGGUCUUGACCUCCUGGCCUCAUGGCAUCUUCCCACCUCUCAAAGUGCUGGUAUUAUAGGCAUGAGCCACUAUGCCUGGCCCCAAACUACCUUUCUUUUUUUUUUUUUUUUUUUUUUUUUUUAUACAGAGUCUCCUUCUGUCACCCAGGCUGGAGUAUAUUUUUAGUAGAAAGUAAAACCUCUACCAUUUUGGCCAGGCUGGUCUCAAACCCCUGACCUUAAGUGGUCCACCCGCCUCAGAGUACCAAAGUGCUGGGAUUACAGGUGUGAGUUACUGCGCCUGGCCCAAACUACAUUUCUUAUUAUCAUUUGAAUGUAAAUGAUAGGGGCUUCACAACCAGGAAAACUUAAGUAUAUUUAAUGUCUUCCUUUCAGGAAUUAAGGCCUGUUAGAUUCCCCUCCCCUACUUGGCUAUAUGAAUGUGUAAUUUGGCAGAUUUAAAAGAAGGUUAAUAUGUUUUUAUUUUGUCAAGUGAUUUCAGCAAAAUAUUUAUACCCAAAACAGUAUUAACACUGUCAGAUUAUAAACAGUGCUUAUGGACUAUACCGAAAGAUUAUACCUCAAGCCUUGAAAAUAUAAGAAAUAACUGUUUUCUGUUGGGGGAGGGAGGAAGGAUUAUUAAGUGGAGUUCUAGGUCACUGAGAUUGUGAAGAAUAGAUAAUUUACAGGGACAUGUUAGGAAUUGGAGAAAAAGUAAGUUUUCCUGACCUUGGUAACAUGGCAUUCAUUUCUUUGAGCAACUCACUUGGCAUUCUUUUUGUAUCUUUUCAGCUCCCAUGGCUAUUGAAGAACAAGUGGCUGUUAUCUAUGCGGGUGUAAGGGGGUAUCUUGAUAAACUGGAGCCCAGCAAGAUUACAAAGUUUGAGAAUGCUUUCUUGUCUCAUGUCGUCAGCCAGCACCAAGCCUUGUUGGGCACUAUCAGGUAUGAAUGCAGUUGUUGGCAUCUUUUUGUAAAGUUAUGUUUAAGAUAUGAAGUUAAAAUUAUUUUCAAAUCUGUAGUUAGGCUAGUUAUUAAAAUUUUUUCCAGGUCAGAACUUAAUGACCUGCUUUUAUUUCCAAAUAGGGCUGAUGGAAAGAUCUCAGAACAAUCAGAUGCAAAGCUGAAAGAGAUUGUAACAAACUUCUUGGCUGGAUUUGAAGCUUAAACUCCUGUGGAUUCACAUCAAAUACCAGUUCAGUUUUGUCAUUGUUCUAGUAAAUUAGUUCCAUUUGUAAAAGGGUUACUCUCAUACUCCUUAUGUACAGAAAUCACAUGAAAAAUAAAGGUUCCAUAACGC
rnacentral:sRNA from 1 species